UGCAGUUAAAAAGCUCGUAGUUGAAUUUUUGGCCUGGCCAAGUGGUUUAGCCGAAAGGUUAACACUACUUUGGUUGGGUCUUUCCUUAUGGCUAACUAGUGUGCUCUUUAUUGAGUGCGUUAGGGAUCCAUAACUGUUACUUUGAAAAAAUUAGAGUGUUUAAAACAGGCGUCUGCCUGAAUACAUUAGCAUGGAAUAACGGAAUAGGACUUUGUUUCUAUUUUGUUGGUUUUAGAAAUAAAGUAAUGAUUAAUAGGGAUAGUUGGGGGCAUUAGUAUUCCAUUGUCAGAGGUGAAAUUCUUGGAUUUAUGAAAGACUAACUUCUGCGAAAGCAUUUGCCAAGGAUGUUUUCAUUAAUCAAGAACGAAAGUUAGGGGAUCGAAGACGAUCAGAUACCGUCGUAGUCUUAACCGUAAACUAUGCCGACUAGGGAUCGGACAAUGUUAUUUUAUUGACAUGUUCGGCACCUUAUGAGAAAUUAAAGUUUUUGGGUUCUGGGGGGAGUAUGGUCGCAAGGCUGAAACUUAAAGGAAUUGACGGAAGGGCACCACCAGGAGUGGAGCCUGCGGCUUAAUUUGACUCAACACGGGGAAACUCACCAGGUCCAGACAUGGUAAGGAUUGACAGAUUGAGAGCUCU
rnacentral:rRNA from 1 species